rnacentral:ncRNA from 10 species
UAUUGCACGCAACGGCUUCCUGACGCGUGAGUUGUAAUUAUCGGAGCA